AUGAAUGAGUUAACUAAGUAUCAGAUCGACCAAAUUGAACAAAUGAUAGCUCAAGAUCAUGUUGUUCAUUGGGAAUUGAAGAGGGGAGAACGAGCAGACAUCGAACGAUUAAUUUCUAUUUCUCGUUAUCGUGGAAUUCGUCAUCAAGAUGGAUCGCCCUUACGCGGUCAACGAACUCAUACUAAUGCAAGGACUGCUCGCAAGCAAAUUCGGAAAUGA
rnacentral:rRNA from 1 species